GUGCGUAUAGGUCAGUGGUAGAGCAUGGGCUUAGCAUGCCCAAGGUCCUGGGUUCAAUCCCCAGUACCUCCA
rnacentral:tRNA from 1 species